rnacentral:rRNA from 1 species
ACAUGCCUACAACAUAGUGUUAAUGCAUAUGAUCCCAUUAGAACUCCACAGUUAAGUGCGCUUGGUCUAGAGUAGUACUGGGAUGGGUGAUCGCUCAGUAAGUACUAGUAUUUUACAUGCC